rnacentral:rRNA from 1 species
CUCCUAAGGCUAAAUACUCUCUAGUGACCGAUAGUGAACCAGUACCGUGAGGGAAAGGUGAAAAGCACCCCGGAAGGGGAGUGAAAUAGAACCUGAAACCGUGUGCUUACAAGUAGUCAGAGCCCGUUAAUGGGUGAUGGCGUGCCUUUUGUAGAAUGAACCGGCGAGUUACGAUUUGAUGCAAGGUUAAGCAGUAAAUGUGGAGCCGUAGCGAAAGCGAGUCUGAAUAGGGCGUUUAGUAUUUGGUCGUAGACCCGAAACCAGGUGAUCUACCCUUGGUCAGGUUGAAGUUCAGGUAACACUGAAUGGAGGACCGAACCGACUUACGUUGAAAAGUGAGCGGAUGAACUGAGGGUAGCGGAGAAAUUCCAAUCGAACCUGGAGAUAGCUGGUUCUCUCCGAAAUAGCUUUAGGGCUAGCCUCAAGUGAUGAUUAUUGGAGGUAGAGCACUGUUUGGACGAGGGGCCCCUCUCGGGUUACCGAAUUCAGACAAACUCCGAAUGCCAAUUAAUUUAACUUGGGAGUCAGAACAUGGGUGAUAAGGUCCGUGUUCGAAAGGGAAACAGCCCAGACCACCAGCUAAGGUCCCAAAAUAUAUGUUAAGUGGAAAAGGAUGUGGCGUUGCCCAGACAACUAGGAUGUUGGCUUAGAAGCAGCCAUCAUUUAAAGAGUGCGUAAUAGCUCACUAGUCGAGUGACACUGCGCCGAAAAUGUACCGGGGCUAAACAUAUUACCGAAGCUGUGGAUUGUCCUUUGGACAAUGGUAGGAGAGCGUUCUAAGGGCGUUGAAGCAUGAUCGUAAGGACAUGUGGAGCGCUUAGAAGUGAGAAUGCCGGUGUGAGUAGCGAAAGACGGGUGAGAAUCCCGUCCACCGAUUGACUAAGGUUUCCAGAGGAAGGCUCGUCCGCUCUGGGUUAGUCGGGUCCUAAGCUGAGGCCGACAGGCGUAGGCGAUGGAUAACAGGUUGAUAUUCCUGUACCACCUAUA